GACGAACGCUGGCGGCGUGCUUAACACAUGCAAGUCGAACGGAAAGGCCCUGCUUUUGUGGGGUGCUCGAGUGGCGCACGGGUGAGUAACACGUGAGUAUCCUGCCCUUGACUUUGGGAUAACUUCAGGAAACUGGGGCUAAUACAGGAUAGGAGCUCCUGCUGCAUGGUGGGGGAUGGAAAGUUUCGGCGGUUGGGGAUGGAAUCGCGGCUUAUCAGCUUGAUGGUGGGGUUGUGGAUUAACAAGGCUUUGACGGGUAGCCGGCCUGAGAGGGAGACCGGCCACAGUGGGAUAGGGAUACGGCCCAUACGGCUACGGGAGGCAGGAGUGGGGAAUAUUGCACGAAGGGCGGAGGCCGUAAGCAGCAACGCCGCGUGCGGGAUGACGGCCUUCGGGGUGGAAAACGCUUUCGCGUGUGACGAAGCGUGAGGAACGUAAAUGGGUAGAGAAGCACCGGCGAACUACGG
rnacentral:rRNA from 1 species